CUCUCUCUCUCUCUCUCUCUCUCUCUCUCUCUCUCUCUCUCUCUCUCUCUCUCUCUCUCUCACGCGAACCAGUCCUCUCUGCACAGACCUCUCUCACGCGAAACCAAUCCGCUCUGCAUAGUCCUCUCUGCUCAUACCUCUCUCACGCGAAACCAGUCUCCAUAUUGUGUUUUUGGUUUUAAGGUUCCUUUCAACAUUUUGAGACUAUAUCCUUCUUGUACUAUUAUUGGACUUUUAAAUAACAAUGUCAAUUUUUAUAGUCCUUUGGGUGUAGAGGUUGCAAGAAUGUUCUUACCAAAUUAGUUCAUAUUUGUUGUUGUGUAUUGGAGUUUAAUUAAAGUAAUGUAUGUGGUUUGUAAUGUUCUAAACAAAUCAGUUCAAACAAUAUAAUAUGUAGUGAAUUUUUUUUUCUUCUUUUA